rnacentral:rRNA from 1 species
AUUGAACGCUGGCGGCAGGCCUAACACAUGCAAGUCGAACGGUAACAGGAAACAGCUUGCUGUUUCGCUGACGAGUGGCGGACGGGUGAGUAAUGUCUGGGAAACUGCCUGAUGGAGGGGGAUAACUACUGGAAACGGUAGCUAAUACCGCAUAACGUCGCAAGACCAAAGAGGGGGACCUUCGGGCCUCUUGCCAUCGGAUGUGCCCAGAUGGGAUUAGCUAGUAGGUGGGGUAACGGCUCACCUAGGCGACGAUCCCUAGCUGGUCUGAGAGGAUGACCAGCCACACUGGAACUGAGACACGGUCCAGACUCCUACGGGAGGCAGCAGUGGGGAAUAUUGCACAAUGGGCGCAAGCCUGAUGCAGCCAUGCCGAGUGUAUGAAGAAGGCCUUCGGGUUGUAAAGUACUUUCAGCGGGGAUGAAGGGAGUAAAGUUAAUACCUUUGCUCAUUGACGUUACCCGCAGAAGAAGCACCGGCUAACUCCGUG